rnacentral:lncRNA from 1 species
AGCAAGAUUGCCUUGGCUGGGAACCAAACUCAUCCUGGUUUCCUGUCUUGGGAUCUCAAGGGGCUAGAAUGAGCUGCUAUUCCAAGGGAGAGAAGAAAGCAACCCCAGGAAGCCUGGCCCCGAAGACUGUGAGGUAUGGUGGGGCCUUGCUGUGCUCUGGACUGGACAAGAGGCACCCUGGGCUCUGGACACAGCCAGAUCUUCAGCCAAUUGCAUCUCCGGCCCAGGGCAGGCCCUUUAUCUUAUAGCCCAGUGGUGCCUCUCUCCUCACCUAGGAAACAAAGCCAACAGGAUCUGCACCACCUCUGCCUCCCGGACAUUGGAAGGACUAAAUAAGAUCAGAUGGAACGAGGAAUGGUAGCGACCACGAUCCUCCCCUCCCAGGAUCUGCGCCACAAGGGAAGAUCAGAACCUUCAGCUGCCAGAAGCACUGUGGCGGAAAUGUAGGUCCCCAUCCAGGCUGAUCUGAGCUUGGCUUUCUGGAGCACGCAAACCUCGAUGCACUGAACUGCUGCCGGACCUCACCUUGCCAGGCCCACUGUGCUCACACUCACACAUCGCUCCAUCCACUGGAGGCUGCAGAGGCAAGAUCCACCAAGAAGAUGGUCUUCCUGUCCAGGAUGCCCUUCCCUGAGAGAAGUGUAUUUAAUCUUAAAUUCAGAUGUUUGUUUGUCUACCCACUUAAAACACCCUGUUGAAUAAAAAUUACUCAAGGAA